CCGUGGGCUCCUGCCCCGUGUCCGCUGGGAGCAGACCAGCCCCAGGCAGGGGCAGGAGCAAGCUGAGGGAUGCCAGUGCUGAACGCCUGGAAAAUGCGACUAAAUCCGAAAGACCAGCACAAGUGCCAUGUUCCCACCCUGACACAUCUGGGAGCAAGCGUUUCAGGGAGGCUGUGGGC